rnacentral:rRNA from 1 species
UGGGGAAUUUUGGACAAUGGGGGCAACCCUGAUCCAGCAAUGCCGCGUGCAGGACGAAGGCCUUCGGGUUGUAAACUGCUUUUGUGCGGGGAGAAAAGUUCUGGGUUAUUACCCUGGGAUGAUGACGGUACCGUAAGAAUAAGCACCGGCUAACUACGUGCCAGCAGCCGCGGUAAUACGUAGGGUGCGAGCGUUAAUCGGAAUUACUGGGCGUAAAGCGUGCGCAGGCGGCUUUGUAAGACAGGUGUGAAAUCCCCGGGCUUAACCUGGGAACGGCAUUCGUGACUGCGAGGCUAGAGUGCGGCAGAGGGAGAUGGAAUACCGCGUGUAGCAGUGAAAUGCGUAGAUAUGCGGAGGAACACCAAUGGCGAAGGCAAUCUCCUGGGCCUGCACUGACGCUCAUGCACGAAAGCGUGGGGAGCAACCA